UUGUGCUUCCUCCAGCCUGGCAUUUCGCAUGAUAUACUCUGAUAUAAGUUAAAUAAGCAGGGUGACAAUAUACAGCCUUGACGUACUCUUUUCCCGAUUUGGAUCCAGUCUGUUGUUCCAUGUACAUACACAGAUAGAUGUCAUAGGUUAGGUUAGGUAGAAAGAUAGAUACAUAGAUAGAUAGAUGUGAUAGGUAGGUAGGUCAAUAGAAGGAUAGAUAGAUGUGAUAGGUACAUAGAUAGUUAUGACAGGUAGGUAGGUAGGUAGAUAGAUGUGAUCGGUAGGUAGGGAGGUAGAUAUUAUUGGUAGGUAGAUAGAUUGAUAGGUAGGUAGGUAGGUAGAUUGAUAGGUAGGUACUUAGAACGAUAGAUAGAUAUAUCUAAUGAUAGGUAUUUUCUAGAUCUGUCUCAUGCUGAUGUGGUAGUUACGUUGGGGCCAUGAAUGCAUGUAUUUUGGAAACCAUGCUCUUUAAAAUUUGAGACGUGAAAACACGAAGCUCAUGCAAAGCCCCAGGAGGUCCGUCAUACGUAGGGUUCCGUUCGCCCAGAACUAAAACUCCACCACAGAACGGCAGCCGCCCACGUGUCCCUGAGCCCUUUCUGUCUCUGUGUGACGCUGUCCUCCUGCACCGUUAAUCUUUCAAAUGUCCAUUCUGGGAGCAUUUUAUUACGGCGUCACCUCCCGCCGUGAACCACAGCACAGCGCUAACACCCGGGAGGGCAGCGGGUCGAAGCCUGACCGGGUCCAGGCAGGUGGAAUUCAUUACAGAACGUCACCCACCCCAGCACCCACGUAAAGGAAACCAGUGAGACACACAUUCUCUGGUCCUGUGGGCAAAAGAAACGCUGAGGAAUGAAGAAUCACAGCCUGCACACGUCCCUGGGAGCUUUCCCUUGCUCCUGGGGGCGGGGCCAGAACCCCCCCCAAACAUCGUAGUCAGGGACACGCAGAGUCUCUGCACGGCCUCCCGGCCAAGUCGGUGAAAACUGAAGUGUUGGUCACUCAGUCGUGUCUGACUCUUUGCGACCCCUGUGGACUGUAGCCCACCAGGCUCCUCUGUCCAUGGGAUUCUCCAGGCAAGAACACUGGAGUGGGUUGCCAUCCCUCCUCCAGGGGAUCUUCCCGACCCAGGGAUCGAACCCGGGUCCCCUGCAUUGCAGGGUGCAGCAUGCUAGCCUCCUGGUUCUUUGUCGCAGGCGGUCCCAGCCACGGGCCCCUUCUGCCACAUCCCCCAUUUGGUUCUGACCCUAUUUGUGUGUCUGACUGUAUGUGUGUGUUUCAGAGUGUGUUUAUGUGUGUGUGUGUGUGUGUGUGUGUGCAUGCACGUGUGUUUGUGUGCAUGUGUGCAUGCAUGCAUGUGUUUAGGUUUGUGUGUAAGCGUGUGUGUGCAUGCAUCUGUGUGCAUCUAUAUGCGUGCAUGUGUUUCUGCAUGUUUCUGAGUGAAUGCACGUCUGUACAUGUACUGCCGUGUCACUGUGGGCAUGCGCAUGUCACUGCAUGACUUUAUCCAUGUAUGUGUUCGUGAACAUAUGUACGUGUACCUGUCUCUGUGUAUCCUUGAAAACAGUGUCGUGUCUUUUGGAGAAAUAUUGUAUGGCAUCCCUUAUAUAUGGAAUCUAAGAAGACAUGAUGCAAAGUAAGUUACUUAGAAAACAGAACUUAUGGUUGCUGGGGGAAGGAUGGGGGAAGGGAUAGUCAGGGAGUCUGGGAUGGACAUGGACACACUGCUGUAUUUAACAUGGAGAACCAGCAAGGACCUGCUGGACAGCACAGGGAA